AGUCAACAUGCCCAGGGGACGUGGAUAACCUCGGGAAACUGAGGAUAAACCGCGAUAGGUCGCUACUUCUGGAAUGGGUAAUGACCCAAACCUAUAUGGCCCCUGGAUUGGACUGCGGCCGAUCAGGCUGUUGGUGAGGUAAUGGCCCACCAAACCUGUAACCGGUACGGGCUCUGAGAGGAGGAGCCCGGAGAUGGGCACUGAGACAAGGGCCCAGGCCCUAUGGGGCGCAGCAGGCGCGAAACCUCUGCAAUAGGCGAAAGCUUGACAGGGUUACUCUGAGUGAUUUCCGUUAAGGAGAUCUUUUGGCACCUCUAAAAAUGGUGCAGAAUAAGGGGUGGGCAAGUCUGGUGUCAGCCGCCGCGGUAAUACCAGCACCCCGAGUGGUCGGGACGUUUAUUGGGCCUAAAGCAUCCGUAGCCGGUUCCACAAGUCUUCCGUUAAAUCCACCUGCUCAACAGAUGGGCUGCGGAAGAUACUAUGGAGCUAGGAGGCGGGAGAGGCAAGCGGUACUCGAUGGGUAGGGGUAAAAUCCGUUGAUCCAUUGAAGACCACCAGUGGCGAAGGCGGCUUGCCAGAACGCGCUCGACGGUGAGGGAUGAAAGCUGGGGGAGCAAACCGGAUUAGAUACCCGGGUAGUCCCAGCUGUAAACGAUGCAGACUCGGUGAUGAGUUGGCUUUAUGCCAACUCAGUGCCGCAGGGAAGCCGUUAAGUUUGCCGCCUGGGGAGUACGGUCGCAAGACUGAAACUUAA
rnacentral:rRNA from 1 species